rnacentral:rRNA from 1 species
GUAACAUCCGGGAAACGGGUGCUAAUACCGCAUUAGUUUUUCUUGAUCGCAUGAUUGAGAAAGGAAAGACGGCCUUUGUGCUGUCGCUUAUGGAUGGACCCGCGGCGUAUUAGUUAGUUGGUGAGGUAACGGCUCACCAAGACGAUGAUACGUAGCCGACCUGAGAGGGUGAUCGGCCACAUUGGGACUGAGACACGGCCCAAACUCCUACGGGAGGCAGCAGUAGGGAAUCUUCCGCAAUGGACGAAAGUCUGACGGAGCAACGCCGCGUGAGUGAAGAAAGGUUUUCGGAUCGUAAAACUCUGUUGUCAGAGAAGAACAAGUUGGAGAGUAACUGCUCCAGCCUUGACGGUAUCUGACCAGAAAGCCACGGCUAACUACGUGCCAGCCGCCGC